rnacentral:rRNA from 1 species
GAUGAACGCUGGCGGCGUGCCUAAUACAUGCAAGUCGAGCGAACAGACGAGGAGCUUGCUCCUCUGACGUUAGCGGCGGACGGGUGAGUAACACGUGGAUAACCUACCUAUAAGACUGGGAUAACUUCGGGAAACCGGAGCUAAUACCGGAUAAUAUAUUGAACCGCAUGGUUCAAUAGUGAAAGACGGUUUUGCUGUCACUUAUAGAUUGAUCCGCGCCGCAUUAGCUAGUUGGUAAGGUAACGGCUUACCAAGGCGACGAUGCGUAGCCGACCUGAGAGCGUGAUCGCCCACACUGGAACUGAGACACGGCCCAGACUCCUACGGGAGGCAGCAGUAGGGAAUCUUCCGCAAUGGGCGAAAGCCUGACGGAGCAACGCCGCGUGAGUGAUGAAGGUCUUCGGAUCGUAAAGCUCUGUUAUUAGGGAAGAACAAAUGUGUAAGUAACUAUGCACGUCUUGACGGUACCUAAUCAGAAAGCCACGGCUAACUACGUG